ACAGAGGGUGCGAGCGUUAAUCGGAAUUACUGGGCGUAAAGCGCGCGUAGGCGGCUUUGCAAGUCGGGUGUGAAAUCCCCAGGCUUAACCUGGGAACUGCAUUCGAGACUGCAUUGCUAGAGUAUGGGAGAGGGAAGUGGAAUUUCCGGUGUAGCGGUGAAAUGCGUAGAUAUCUGGAGGAACACCGGUGGCGAAGGCGGCAUCCUGGACCGGUAUUGACGCUGAGGCGCGAAAGCCAGGGGAGCAAACGGGA
rnacentral:rRNA from 1 species